rnacentral:rRNA from 1 species
UACGAAGGGGGCUAGCGUUGUUCGGAAUUACUGGGCGUAAAGCGCACGUAGGCGGAUAUUUAAGUCAGGGGUGAAAUCCCAGAGCUCAACUCUGGAACUGCCUUUGAUACUGGGUAUCUUGAGUAUGGAAGAGGUAAGUGGAAUUCCGAGUGUAGAGGUGAAACUCGUAGAUAUUCGGAGGAACACCAGUGGCGAAGGCGGCUUACUGGUCCAUUACUGACGCUGAGGUGCGAAAGCGUGGGGAGCAAACAGG